rnacentral:rRNA from 1 species
AUUGAACGCUGGCGGCAUGCCUUACACAUGCAAGUCGAACGGCAGCACGGGUGCUUGCACCUGGUGGCGAGUGGCGAACGGGUGAGUAAUACAUCGGAACAUGUCCUGUAGUGGGGGAUAGCCCGGCGAAAGCCGGAUUAAUACCGCAUACGAUCUACGGAUGAAAGCGGGGGACCUUCGGGCCUCGCGCUAUAGGGUUGGCCGAUGGCUGAUUAGCUAGUUGGUGGGGUAAAGGCCUACCAAGGCGACGAUCAGUAGCUGGUCUGAGAGGACGACCAGCCACACUGGGACUGAGACACGGCCCAGACUCCUACGGGAGGCAGCAGUGGGGAAUUUUGGACAAUGGGCGAAAGCCUGAUCCAGCAAUGCCGCGUGUGUGAAGAAGGCCUUCGGGUUGUAAAGCACUUUUGUCCGGAAAGAAAUCCUUGGCCCUAAUACGGUCGGGGGAUGACGGUACCGGAAGAAUAAGCACCGGCUAACUUCGUG